rnacentral:rRNA from 1 species
CUGGGCUUGACAUGCAGGGUGAAACCCGUGAAAGCGGGUGCUCUUCGGAGCCUGCACAGGUGGUGCAUGGCUGUCGUCAGCUCGUGCCGUGAGGUGUUGCCUUAAGUGGCGCAACGAGCGCAACCCCUGUCCCUAGUUGCCAGCGGAUCAUGCCGGGAACUCUAGGGAGACUGCCGGUGCCAAACCGGAGGAAGGUGGGGAUGAAGUCAAGUCAUCAUGCCCCUUACGUCCAGGGCUGCAAACAUGCUACAAUGCUCGGUACAAAGGGCUGCGAUCCCGUAAGGGGGAGCGAAUCCCAGAAAGCCGGGCUCAGUUCGGAUCGGGGUCUGCAACUCGACCCCGUGAAGUUGGAGUCGCUAGUAAUCGCAGAUCAGCACUGCUGCGGUGAAUACGUUCCCGGGGCUUGUACACACCGCCCGUCACACCAUGAGAGUCUGCAACACCCGAAGUCGGUAGUUUAACCCGAGAGGGAGGACGCCGCCGAAGGUGGGGCAGAUGAUUGGGGUG